UGAGGAAUAUUGCCCAAUGGAGGAAACUCUGAGGCAGCAACGCCGCGUGAACGAUGACGGCCUUCGGGUUGUAAAGUUCUUUUCUCAGGGAAGAUGAUGACGGUACCUGAGAAAUAAGUCCCGGCUAACUACGUGCCAGCAGCCGCGGUAAAACGUAGGGGACAAGCGUUAUCCGGAUUUACUGGGCGUAAAGCGCCCGUAGGCGGCUCAAUAAGUUGGACGUGAAAGCUCCCGGCUUAACUGGGAGAGGCCGUUCAAAACUGUGGGGCUAGAGUGAGGCAGAGGAGCGCGGAAUUCCCGGUGUAGUGGUGGAAUGCGUAGAUAUCGGGAGGAACACCAGUGGCGAAAGCGGCGCUCUGGGCCUAAACUGACGCUGAGGGGCGAAAGCGUGGGGAGCGA
rnacentral:rRNA from 1 species